UUCCCAUGGAUUGCCUGCUAAAUAACCACUAGUCAUGCCCUGAAGCCAGAUUGUAUCCUGUAAUCAGGAUUGGUCCAUCACCUUCUAGCCCCUCUUGACUUCUUGUCUUUAAGACUACAACCACUCUGCCUACAUUCACUGCUUCUAAAUUUUUUGCCUGUCCUCCCUGCCCCCUGUGUCCCUCACUUUGGCUCAAACAUAAAUUGGGAUUUGUUUUCUCUGUUUGGUAAGUACCUUUCUCCAGAAAAAUCCCUUGAAGAAGAGUAUACAGUGUUUAACUUCUGUUAUUGUGACUUUGUUAUUCCUAGGCCUGUCUUAUUUGAGCUACCAGGAACCACAUCUAAAGGCUGCUUAGAGCUUGCCUUAUCUCAGCAUCUUUAGGGUAUCUGCUGCUUAGCAUGCCCUUCUUCACUCAGUACCACUGGCUCCUGGCUCUCCUGCUCAAUUUGCUCGAUGGUUUAAGUGUUUCUAGUUGUCUUUUUUUAUUUUUAUUUUUUUUAAGAAAUAUUAAGGAUAAAAUAGAACCAGGCCUGGUGAUGUAGGCAUGUCAUCCCAGCUCCUCAAUAGAGUGGGGCAGGAGGAUCUCAAGUCAAAGGCCUUUCAGGACAAGUUAAUGGCAUCAUCUCUAAAGACAAAACAAAAUGGAAUACCACAAACGACCACCAAAGGUGGCUGAGGUUGAGACUCAGUGUUAGGACACUUGAUUAGCAUGCAUAGGCCCCAGGGAUUAAGCACUAGAAUUCUACUUUUUUUUUUUUUAAGGAUAAAUAGGUUUUGUUUACUUAGGAUAAGAUGCAGAUGAAUAUCAUUGGGGAAGAAAUGUCUCUGGCAGGAAUCUGGAUCCAGACUUUCCUAUGAGCAAAAGGAAGGAGCAGACAAAUUUGGCCUGAUUUGUUUAGAAGCUCAUUGACCAAUUCGUGAAAUACAACUCCACAGAUUUAGGCUUUCGUAAGCAGAGGGGUGACUUUGGCUGCGCAGUGUGGGUUCUACCAGUUCUAGAAACCAGGUGAGUUCCUGUGUCAUCUUUGAAUCUGGGAAGCCCCCAGGAAGCUGCUGAAGACCCAGGUCCCUACUGCCUGGGGAUUCCUGGAAGAUCCUGCCUGUGAUGGAGUGGGCAGCCUUCUGUACUCCACAGCAGGCAGCUCCGUGGCUCAACUUCCCCCUUCUUUCUGGGUUGGUUUGUUUCCACCCAUAUUUAGAAAGUCUCUCCCCUUCCUCAGUACUAAGCAAGGCCUGCUGGAAACAGUCCUGGAAAAGAAUGGAGAGUAAAAUACAUGGCCGAACCAGCCAUCGUUCUCCUGCUCUGGUUUACACCACUAAAGCUGGCACAUCUUCGUUGAACUCUCUCAUUUAUUUGAACCAUCGUGUGCAUGCUUCUGUAAGUGAAAUCUGGGUCAGACUGUUGGAGUAAUGCCUGCUCUGUUAUCGUGUUGUUUUGGUAAUGGUCUUUACUAUGUUGUGAUGAACAUCUUUUUAUUUUUUAAUGGCUUCCUGGCAUUCUAUCAUGGAGGCCAUUCAUAAUUUAUGGAAUGGAUCCCCUGUUGUUGAACAUUUAGGUGGUUUCCAAUUUGUGUGCUUAUAAAUAAAUAAGGCUACAUUUAAUAACCUUGAACAUAAUUGCGUGUGCACUGCUGAUUAUUUCCUUAGGACAUUGUUAUAUAUGCUGAAUGCUGUUGGGCUUCAGGAUGAGAGCAGCGCUCGUGAUGGAUUGCAUGCUAGUAAACCAUCACCAUCAGAG
rnacentral:lncRNA from 1 species